UGUCAGGAGGCAGUACAGUAAUGACUGUGCCUCUGCAGAUGGGACCCAGGAGCACAAGGUAUCACUGAGAUACAGAUUCCUAAUCAACAAAGCAUUCUCCAGGAACUCUGCAGUUCUGGACUGGGACUUCUCCAUGAUGGGUUCCACUGCCCCUGCUGUUAUCCUUUAGCAAUCCCUAAUUCAUAUUAUCAGCAGGGAACCAGAGACAAAGCCAAAACAUUCAUGACAAGGACCAGAAUCACUGUGCAGGAGGUUGUCAGAAGACUUCCUCUCCAACAAGAAGGAGAGAAAAUUAAAAGAAAGAACUAAGAAAGAGCAAAGAAAAAGGAGAAAUGGCUUAAGAAAGUGUUAUUCACAGGUGCAGCCCAGGGAUGUUACAAGACCCAGUUUUCUCACUGGAUUAGUUUCUACUAUGGCUAAAAACAGCAUCUACUACAACAGGAACCAGACCUCUCUUGGAACCAUGAGCCAGCACUUGGAUAAAAAUUCUGACUUUGCCAGAUUGUGGCUUCUUUUCUAUUUCUUACCUCCUUAUACAAAAAUAGUAAAUAUAUAGUGCAUAACAUCAUAGAAAACAAGGAGUUCUUUCUAUUCCCUU